UGGGGAAUCAUGGUCAAUGGGCGAAAGCCUGAACCUGCGACGCCGCGUGAGUGAUGAAGGUCGUAAGAUCGUAAAACUCUUUUCAGGGAUCUUAAAGCACAACCGUCAACAACGGCUGUGUGUGACUCUCCCUGGAAGAAGCCCCAGCCAACUACGUGCCAGCAGCUGCGGUAAUACGUAGGGGGCGAGCGUUAUUCGGAAUUACUGGGUGUAAAGGGUAUGUAGGCGGCCCUUCAAGUCGCGUGUCAAAGUCCAGGGCUCAACGCUGGGUGUGCGCGCGAUACUG
rnacentral:rRNA from 1 species